GGAGUUGUAGCUCAGUUGGUUAGAGCGCAGCAUUGACAUUGCUGAGGUCACAGGUUCGAAUCCUGUCAGCUCCA
rnacentral:tRNA from 1 species